GCGUUGUCCGGAAUUACUGGGCGUAAAGCGCGCGUAGGCGGCACCCUAAGUCUUGUGUGAAAGCCCCCGGCUCAACCCUGGAAUGCCGGUGGAAACUGUCGAGCUAGAGUCCGGAAGAGGCGAGUGGAAUUCCUGGUGUAGCGGUGAAAUGCGCAGAUAUCAGGAGGAACACCAAUGGCGAAGGCAGCUUGCUGGGACGUUACUGACGCUGAGACUCGAAAGCGUGUGGAGCAAACAGG
rnacentral:rRNA from 1 species